GGAUCAGUGGGUGUAGUGGUUUGAGUGUUGGACAAUAGCUCUGGGGAUCAGGGUUCGAUUCCCUGCUUGGCCA